GCACGGCCCGGCCCCGCAGCGCCGCCGCACCGCCGCACGGAACGGACCGGCACCGGGCCUGCAGUUCAAGAUGUCUAAAAAAAUCCAUGGAGGCUCCGUUGUGGAGAUGCAAGGAGAUGAAAUGACGCGGGUCAUCUGGGAGCUGAUUAAAGAAAAGCUGAUUUUUCCUUAUGUAGAUCUGGAUUUGCACAGCUAUGACUUGGGCAUUGAGCAUCGUGAUGCUACAAAUGAUAAAGUAACUGUGGAAGCUGCUGAAGCCAUUAAGAAAUACAACGUUGGCAUAAAGUGUGCAACCAUCACUCCUGAUGAGAAGAGAGUGGAAGAGUUCAAGCUGAAACAGAUGUGGAAGUCUCCCAAUGGGACAAUUAGAAACAUCCUAGGUGGCACUGUCUUCAGAGAGGCUAUUAUCUGCAAGAACAUUCCCCGGCUGGUGUCCGGAUGGGUGAAACCCAUUGUCAUCGGCCGUCACGCUUAUGGGGAUCAAUACAGAGCAACCGAUUUUGUGGUACCUGGGCCUGGAAAAGUAGAGAUGACCUACACUCCUGCAGAUGGAGGCAAACCAGUCACAUAUCUGGUCCAUAACUUUGAAAGCUGUGGUGGUGUAGCCAUGGGAAUGUACAAUCUUGACCAGUCUAUCAAGGAUUUUGCCCACAGUUCCUUCCAGAUGGCUCUGUCGAAAGGCUGGCCCCUCUACAUGAGCACCAAAAACACCAUUCUGAAGAGAUAUGAUGGCCGCUUCAAAGACAUCUUCCAAGACAUCUAUGACAGAGAAUACAAGUCCAAGUUUGAAGCCAAAAAGAUCUGGUACGAGCACAGGCUCAUUGAUGACAUGGUUGCUCAGGCCCUGAAAUCUGAAGGAGGCUUUGUCUGGGCCUGCAAGAACUAUGAUGGGGAUGUGCAGUCUGACUCUGUUGCACAAGGCUAUGGCUCUCUGGGGAUGAUGACCAGCGUGCUGAUCUGCCCUGAUGGCAAGACUGUUGAAGCAGAAGCUGCUCACGGGACAGUCACUCGUCACUACCGCAUGCACCAGAAAGGCCAAGAAACCUCCACUAACCCCAUUGCCUCCAUCUUUGCAUGGACAAGAGGCCUCGCUCACAGAGCUAAGCUGGACAACAACACUAGCCUCAGGAACUUUGCAGUUGCCCUGGAAGAAGUCUGCAUUGAGACCAUUGAAUCUGGCUUCAUGACAAAGGACCUUGCUGCCUGCAUCAAAGGCUUGCCUAAUGUCACACGCUCUGAUUACCUGAACACCUUUGAGUUCAUGGACAAGCUUGCUGAAAACUUGAAGCGGAAGCUGGCCUCUAUGCCCAAAGCUUAAGGCAUGGGUUACACUCAAGCUCCCCUAACAAAGUGUCUCCCACUUACAUCAGAGUAGUUUCUAUGAGAAACAACAGCAGCUUGAGCCGGUGAAGCCAGGGGGCUGGGAGAUCGCAGCUGUUGCUGUGUGUUUUUCUUGCUGGAGCUGCUGUUGUCCUGUGCAGUACUACCCCAAGCUGCCUGAGUG